rnacentral:lncRNA from 1 species
CUACACACUUGAUAAAGGCUGAUUACCCGUGGGUUCGAUGAUGGCAUCUAUGAGACAAACACAGAGCUAGAAGAGCACUGCAUGCUAGAACCCUGCAAGAAAAGAAGAAAGGUCUCAUCAGCCUGUGGUCUCAACUAGCAGAACUGUCACGCUUUCUCAAGCACACAUUGCAGUUUUCUGAGUUAUCCAUGUUAGAAGAUGACUUCCAUGGCAUGAAAUCAUUUUGAAUAACCUGGUUGUUGCACUGAGCUACGUCUAGACUGAUAAUGAUGUUGAGAACUGCUUCAUAUACAUGAACUCUGCAAGGAUAGCUGUUGCAAUAGAGACUGUGCUCACUUGUAAGGUCAUAUUUGUGAUAGGAUUAUAAACUGUCUGUGUAGUAAGAUUGUUUGUUCUUGAUGUUCUUUUUUAUUGCUGUUUGUAUUAAUUGUUCUAAUUUAUUUAUUUAUUAAGAGGGAAAGUAGAUGUUGUGAGACAGUAGAUAGGUAAAUCAAAAGAAAUUGAGUUAAUAGUAGAUAUUUAAUGAAAAAGGAAACAAAUUAAUAGGAUUAUUUUUUAAAAAGUUUUUUGCUUACUAAUUUUAGUAAACUCCAUAAGAUUAAAUGAGAAUAUGAAUGGCUAGACCAAACACAAAAUUAACUCUUGCCUUUUAGAGAAAUCUCUUUAGGUAUUCAGAUCAUUUUAUG